UAAACUACGAUUAGAUACCCUAUUAUUUUAAAUGUGAAUCAUAAAGACUUGAGUAGUAUUAGAUAUGUUCUUGAAACUCAAAGAAUUUGGCGGUGUUUUAGUCCUUUCAGAGGAACCUGUCCCGUAAUCGAUAGUCCACGUUUUACCUUACUUAAUCUUGUUUUCAGCUUGUAUACCGCCGUCGUCAGAAUGUCCUUGGAGGGGUUUAAUUUUCUUAAUUUUUUAUUAGAGUUGAUGUCAGGUCAAGGUGCAGCUUAUGGUUAAGUGGAGAUGGGUUACAAUAAAAAUAUUUAUAACGGAAAGUGAGUGGAAGAACUUAUUAGAAGGUGGAUUUGAUUGUAAUAAAUUUAAUUAAAUUAGUUUGAUUUUGGCUCUAAAACAUGCACACAUCGCCCGUCGCUCUUA
rnacentral:rRNA from 1 species